UGCGGGUUUCAGUGUGGCAUCCCGCUGUCAUCGCCAUCCCCCAGCCUGCCAGGCUCUGGGGCGUGCAGGGCCUCUCCUGGGGUCACUUCAGGAGGUGGUUUGUCCCCGGGUUGAAGAACGGGAGGUGAGGGAGUGUGCAGUGAUGCAGUGCCCAGGUGCCAGAGGACUGCAGUGGGACUUAGUGCCCAUCUCUCUAUAAGUGCUAUUGCAUUUUUCCUUCUGACCCUUUUAAGGUCCUGUGGUGCCAGGACCCACCUGAGCACAGCACAGUCCCUGGGCCAUGAUCCUGUCCUUAGUGGUAGGACAGGAUCCUACAACUGGAUCCUGGCAAGGAAUUGUCACUGGCCACAAGCCUGACUGCUCGCAGACUGGCUGAGAACUUCACUGAAGGAGAGAAGCCCAAAGAGAUCCUGCUUAUCUAAACAAAACAUGAGCACCCAGCCUGGAUAGCAGGGACCUCUCUGCUGACAUUGAUCCUCCUGACAGCCAGGAUUCGUGUGUUCUUCAAGGCAGGUAGGAUAUUGCCUCAUCAGCUUAAGAAAAUGGUGCAUUUCCACAGGGGAUCAGAAAACAGCUGUUGGUGACGUCAAGAACAAGGGGCACAGGAACUUGGUGUGAGUUAUCUUCUGCGUAACAAAGGUCUGUAAUAGGUGGUGCCAGGAUAGCUGUGCGGUAGAGCAGGAAAUUUCACUCACAGCUUUUGUUUGCUUCUCAUAUUGUGUAAAAAAGAAAGGAAAAAAAGGGAAAGAGAGCUGAGGAACACCCUGUAAUUUGCUAUUAAUUACUGCUCUUAACAACCCAGCAUGUGGUUCUCCUGUUAAAGGGCAAGGGACUGGGACAAUCUCAGCUGCUGAUGUGCCCAGGGCCCAGUCCUGGGGCUGAGCUGAGAGGGUACUUUCCACCCCAUCCAAAGAAACCAUGUGUGUUUGGGAGGGUUUUCUCCAUCAUUUCACUAAUCAAAGCUUUUCCUCUUUUGUCCACUCCAUGUUUUAACUGGUACCAGGUUCUUCUACAGCAUUUUGCAUCUAAUGGGACUAAAAGCACUAACAGACUAGAUGUUACAAGUUCCCUUCUCUGGGGUCUGGAGCAUCUCUCUGAUGAGGAGGGACUGUGGGAGCUGGGCCUGUUUAGUCUGGAGAAGACAAGACUGAGAGGUGAUCUCAUUAAUGCAUAUAAAUUUCUCAAAAGUGAGUACCAAGAGAAUGGUGCUGGACUCUUUUUGGUGGUGCACAGCAACAGGAUGAGGAGCAAUGGCCAUAAACUACAACACAAGAAGUUACACCUCGACAUGAGGAAGGAUUUCUGUACACUGAGGGUGGCAGAGCACUGGAACAGCUGCCCAGGGAGGUCAUGGGAUCUCCCUCUCUGGAGACAUUCUAAGCCCACCUG